rnacentral:rRNA from 1 species
AUGCGACCCCAGGUCAGGCG